GAUGAAGAACGUAGCGAAAUGCGAUAAGUAAUGUGAAUUGCAGAAUUCAGUGAAUCAUCGAAUCUUUGAACGCACAUUGCGCCCGCCAGUAUUCUGGCGGGCAUGCCUGUCUGAGCGUCAUUUCAACCCUCAUGCCCCUAGGGCGUGGUGUUGGGGAUCGGCCAAAGCCCGCGAGGGACGGCCGGCCCCUAAAUCUAGUGGCGGUCUCGCUGUAGCUUCCUCUGCGUAGUAGCAACACUCGCACUGGAUCGCAGCGCGGCCACGCCGUUAAACCCCCCACUUCUGAAAGUUUGACCUCGGAUCAGGUAGGAAUACCCGCUGAACUUAAGCAUAUCAAUAAGCGGAGGA
rnacentral:misc_RNA from 1 species